UACGUAGGGUGCGAGCGUUUGUCCGGAAUUAUUGGGCGUAAAGAGCUUGUAGGUGGUUUGUCGCGUCUGCUGUGAAAUCCGAGGCUCAACCUCGGACUUGCAGUGGGUACGGGCAGACUAGAGUGCGGUAGGGAGACUGGAAUUCCUGGUGUAGCGGUGAAAUGCGCAGAUAUCAGGAGGAACACCGGUGGCGAAGGCGGGUCUCUGGGC
rnacentral:rRNA from 1 species